AUUGAACGCUGGCGGCAGGCCUAACACAUGCAAGUCGAACGAGUGGCGGACGGGUGAGUAAUGACUGGGAAACUGCGCGAUGGAGGGGGAUAACUACUGGAAACGGUAGCUAAUACCGCAUAGCAUCGGAUGGGCCCAGUUGGGAUUAGCUAGGAGGUGGGGUAACGGCUUACCAAGGCGACGAACCCUAGCUGGUCUGAGAGGAUGAACAGCCACACUGGAACUGAGACACGGUCCAGACUCCUACGGGAGGCAGCAGUGGGGAAUAUUGCACAAUGGGCGCAAGCCUGAUACAGCCAUGCCGCGUGUAUGAAGAAGGCCUUCGGGUUGUAAAGUACUUUCAGCGAGGAGGCGUUACUCGCAGAAGAAGCACCGGCUAACUCCGUGCCAGCAGCCGCGGUAAUUC
rnacentral:rRNA from 1 species